GUGGGGAAUUUUGGACAAUGGGGGCAACCCUGAUCCAGCAAUGCCGCGUGCAGGAAGAAGGCCUUCGGGUUGUAAACUGCUUUUGUACGGAACGAAACGGUCCUGGUUAAUACCUGGGGCUAAUGACGGUACCGUAAGAAUAAGCACCGGCUAACUACGUGCCAGCAGCCGCGGUAAUACGUAGGGUGCAAGCGUUAAUCGGAAUUACUGGGCGUAAAGCGUGCGCAGGCGGUUUUGUAAGACAGGCGUGAAAUCCCCGGGCUCAACCUGGGAAUGGCGCGUGUGACUGCAAGGCUGGAGUGCGGCAGAGGGGGAUGGAAUUCCGCGUGUAGCAGUGAAAUGCGUAGAUAUGCGGAGGAACACCGAUGGCGAAGGCAAUCCCCUGGGCCUGCACUGACGCUCAUGCACGAAAGCGUGGGGAGCAAACAGGAUUAGAUACCCUAGUAGUCC
rnacentral:rRNA from 1 species